GGGACAAUAGUCUAAAGGUUAGGAUUUAAGACUGUCACUCUUAAGGUCCGGGUUCGAUUCCCGGUUGGCCCG